rnacentral:snRNA from 2 species
GAACUCAUUUCAGCAGCACAUAUACUAAAAUUGGAACAAUAAAGAGAAUAUUAGCAUGGCCCCUGAGCAAGGAUGACACACAAAUUCAUGAAGCAUUCCACAUUUUU